rnacentral:rRNA from 1 species
GUAGGGUGCGAGCGUUAAUCGGAAUUACUGGGGCGUAAAGCGUGCGCAGGCGGUUGUGCAAGACAGAUGUGAAAUCCCCCGGGGCUCAACCUGGGGAAUUGCAUUUGUGACUGCACGGCUAGAGUGUGUCAGACGGGGGGUAGAAUUCCACGUGUAGCAGUGAAAUGCGUAGAGAUGUGGAGGAAUACCGAUGGCGAAGGCAGCCCCCUGGGAUAACACUGACGCUCAUGCACGAAAGCGUGGGGAGCAAACAGGAUUAGAUACCCUGGUAGUCCACGCCCUAAACGAUGUCAACUAGUUGUCGGGUCUUAAUUGACUUGGUAACGCAGCUAACGCGCGAAGUUGACCGCCUGGGGAGUACGGUCGCAAGAUUA